rnacentral:tRNA from 1 species
GCCUGUGGUCUAGUGGUUAGAAUUCAGUGUUUUCAGUGCUCUAGUCCAGGUUCAAUUCCUGGUCAGGGA